AAAAUUCAAAUGGUGGAAAUGGGAUAAAAAUGUGGUAUAGGAACAGACCAGGAAGAAGGUUAUAGUUCCAUUGCCACCACCUCAGAGAAGCCUUCCUUGACCACCUCAACAAAGCAGCACUCCCCUAUCAGAAGGAAAAAGCAUAACUUUACAGUGGAGAAAUUUGUCAGACAGCAUUUUAACCAACGAUCAAAGUGAACAUCAUCAGUAUUUGAGGCAGGCUGACAAGCUGAAAUUGGGUGCCACCUGAUAUGAUGCACUGAGAAGAACGCAGCGCCGCUCUUGCGAUGGUGAUGCAUAACCCGAAUCUGGUCAAGAUGAAACAAAUAGAGGGAGAGUCUGCAAAUUAGCUGGCCCGUCCCCCGACGCCCCAUUGGGCGGGCCGCCCGUCACUCGCCGCGCA
rnacentral:lncRNA from 1 species